AUUGAACGCUGGCGGCAUGCCUUACACAUGCAAGUCGAACGGUAACGGGCCUUCGGGUGCCGACGAGUGGCGAACGGGUGAGUAAUGCAUCGGAACGUACCUUUCAGUGGGGGAUAACGUAGCGAAAGUUACGCUAAUACCGCAUAUUCUGUGAGCAGGAAAGCAGGGGAUCGCAAGACCUUGCGCUGAUUGAGCGGCCGAUGUCAGAUUAGCUAGUUGGUGAGGUGAAGGCUCACCAAGGCGACGAUCUGUAGCGGGUCUGAGAGGAUGAUCCGCCACACUGGGACUGAGACACGGCCCAGACUCCUACGGGAGGCAGCAGUGGGGAAUUUUGGACAAUGGGGGCAACCCUGAUCCAGCCAUGCCGCGUGAGUGAAGAAGGCCUUCGGGUUGUAAAGCUCUUUCGGCCGGGAAGAAAUCGCACAGGCUAAUACCUUGUGUGGAUGACGGUACCGGAAUAAGAAGCACCGGCUAACUACGUGCCAGCAGCCGCCGUAA
rnacentral:rRNA from 1 species